GAACUUGCCUCUUGGUCUGGGACAACUGUUGGAAACGACAGCUAAUACCGGAUAUUAUGAGAUUCUCGCAUGGGAAACUUAUGAAAGCUAUAUGCGCCAAGAGAGAGCCUUGCGUUCCAUUAGCUAGUUGGUGGGGUAACGGCCCACCAAGGCGACGAUGGAUAGCCGGCCUGAGAGGGUGAACGGCCACAAGGGGACUGAGACACGGCCCUUACUCCUACGGGAGGCAGCAGUGGGGAAUAUUGGACAAUGGACCAAAAGUCUGAUCCAGCAAUUCUGUGUGCACGAUGAAGGUCUUCGGAUUGUAAAGUGCUUUCAGUUGGGAAGAAGCAAGUGACGGUACCAACAGAAGAAGCGACGGCUAAAUACGUGCCAGCAGCCGCGGUAAUACGUAUGUCGCAAGCGUUAUCCGGAUUUAUUGGGCGUAAAGCGCGUCUAGGCGGAAAAAUAAGUCUGAUGUUAAAAUGCGGGGCUCAACUCCGUAUUGCGUUGGAAACUGUUUUUCUAGAGUACUGGAGAGGUGGGCGGAACUACAAGUGUAGAGGUGAAAUUCGUAGAUAUUUGUAGGAAUGCCGAUGGAGAAGUCAGCUCACUGGACAGAUACUGACGCUAAAGCGCGAAAGCGUG
rnacentral:rRNA from 1 species